UGGAGCAUGUGGUUUAAUUCGAAGCAACGCGAAGAACCUUACCUGGCCUUGACAUGCUGAGAACUUUCCAGAGAUGGAUUGGUGCCUUCGGGAACUCAGACACAGGUGCUGCAUGGCUGUCGUCAGCUCGUGUCGUGAGAUGUUGGGUUAAGUCCCGUAACGAGCGCAACCCUUGUCCUUAGUUACCAGCACGUAAUGGUGGGCACUCUAAGGAGACUGCCGGUGACAAACCGGAGGAAGUGGGAUGACGUCAAGUCAUCAUGGCCCUUACGGCCAGGGCUACACACGUGCUACAAUGGUCGGUACAGAGGGUUGCCAAGCCGCGAGGUGGAGCUAAUCUCACAAAACCGAUCGUAGUCCGGAUCGCAGUCUGCAACUCGACUGCGUGAAGUCGGAAUCGCUAGUAAUCGUGAAUCAGCAUGUCACGGUGAAUACGUUCCCGGGUCUU
rnacentral:rRNA from 1 species